AUCAGGAAUAACCUUCUUGAGGUCCAGUUUAAAGAUUAUAAUCAAAACAAAAAGCAUUUGGGGUUAGCAUAGAGGAAUCCACAAACCAAUAAGAAAUAAACAGAAAUAAACCUAAUUGCAACUUUCUAAACAUUCCCUAAUUUACUUAUAUAUGUGGGAUUUCAGAUAAGUAAUCUCUAGGUAUGAUUUGAUGGUUUUUCAUCUGGCUUAAGCAUCUCACAGCAUAACUGCUCCCUGUUCCCCUCUUUCCCAGAGAAUCACAACACACAGACAAAGGGAAGGUUUUUUUUCCCAAUUUUAAGAAGUUCUAGCCUUCCCAUUGACUCUUUUGGUCAGGUGCCCACUCCUUUCCUUUUACCUGUGGACUUAUUAAGCUUUUACAGGUAAAGCAAAUAGAGAACAACCACCAAGAGGGAUUUCAUAGCCAACAGGCUGGCUGGGAGUCUACAAAAGGGAGCUAUCCCCUCACUCAUUUAUCACAAUAGAAGAGGAGAAAGGGGCAGAAAGAACCAUUUAAAGGGAAGGGGGGGGGAAAUCUACAGUAUAAUUCUAAAAACAAAUCUAACUUUACUUUUCCAAAAUGGAAUCCCAACUGAGUAAUGAAGAAAGUUUAGUGCAGUUCACCUCUUGAACAAGUUGCAAGAUCCCUAAUUCUUUUCACCUUUGGCACAAUCAUUUAUUACAAUGGCAAGUUCAAGCUCAGAAGGUUUGCGCCAUUAUAAGAAUCAGAUAUUUUUAAAUUUCACUUGGGCUUUUAUCUGGAUUUAGUUUGCUGAAAUUUUUAACCGGAAGAAAAACCCAUUACAGUUUAAUGAUAUUAUUGCAUUAGCUUUAUUUUAGUAAAGUUAGGUCCCAAUACCACCAAAGAAAAAGUCUCAGCCUAUCAGUGGAUAUGUAAUUUCUGGAACUAACAACUCACUAUGGUAUACUAAGAAAAAGGCAAAAGCAGCCAGUUUCUUUCCAUCAAAAAAGUUAAUCAUUGACCUUUAUUUUUUUCCUUGUUAAAAAAGUCCAUCAUAGUUUGGAACUGUUGCAGGGCAAAUGCACAUGCACAUUGUUUUCUUUAAUUUGGUGGGAGAAAAGGACAGAAGAGUGCCUCUAGUUCCCACGAGCUCUCUCCACUCAGUCCAGUGACCCCUGUUAUACAAACAACUUAGCAAAAAUUUAGUUUCCCCAAGCCAGCUAGCGUAUUGAAAUUCCAAAGUACUUGGAGAGAAAAGUAUAAUCUCUUGAAUAAAACUUAUAUAAUUAUUCACCUACAAAGCAAACAAGUGAAAAACAAAUUAGUUAUGUGACAGAGCUGACUAGGCUGAGAGGUUUAUAUAGUUUACAAGAUGGUGCACUGACGUCAUGGAGAAAAAGAAAAAGUGAGCUAUGACAGCUGCUUGCCACUAUCACCAAUUCUGAUCUGCAAAGUCAUCAUUACUCAGCAAAGAAAAUAAAUGGAUUCUAUAGAAGUGGAAGAGGAUGGAUCUGCACAGAUGGAGAGAUGUGUAUGGCCCUUAACUGCCCUUUAUUCCAAUACACUGAGUCUGGCCUCUUCCUGCUAAACGAACAGUUGGACUCAGAUGGAUCUUUUGAAUGCUGCUUUUACUAACUAGUCUUGAGUGUGUGAAAAAUUCAUCUCAAGAAAUGGCUGGACCAAUGUGAUCAUUUGAGGAAGAACAGCCAUUUUCUUUGGCAGCUUGAAGAAAAGUGGUGAAUAGAAAUGGAAAAGAUAAGCGGGAAUAUAAAUGCAGCAGGAGAAGAAAAGAGGAACACGAGAGAAUUAAGACAUAAAUGAGGUUUAGGAGACCUACAUGGCCAACCAAAAUGGGUUCCUGAACAAACAUUAUUAGUCCUAACCAGAACAAUGUAGCUAAUUAAAGUGCAAGUGAUUUAAAUCUAAUUAACUUUACUUAAAACAGAAAACUUAGGGCAUGUCUACACUUACCUGCAGAGUGAUCAAUCCAAAAGGGGUCGAUUUAUCGCAUCUAGUGAACAUGUGAUAAAUCGACCG